rnacentral:rRNA from 1 species
UACAGAGGGGGCAAGCGUUGUUCGGAAUUACUGGGCGUAAAGGGCGCGUAGGUGGCCUUCUAAGUUGAACGUGAAAUCCCUGGGCUCAACCCAGGAACUGCGUCCAAGACUGGGAGGCUUGAAUCCGGGAGAGGGAUGCGGAAUUCCAGGUGUAGCGGUGAAAUGCGCAGAUAUCAGGAGGAACACCGGUGGCGAAGGCGGGUCUCUGGGCCGAUACUGACGCUGAGGAGCGAAAGCGUGGGGAGCGAACAGG